rnacentral:rRNA from 1 species
AUUGAACGCUGGCGGCAUGCCUACACAUGCAAGUCGAACGGCAGCACGGGAGCAAUCCUGGUGGCGAGUGGCGAACGGGUGAGUAAAGUAUCGGAACGUGCCCAGUCGUGGGGGAUAACGUAGCGAAAGUUACGCUAAUACCGCAUACGAUCUAUGGAUGAAAGCGGGGGAUCGCAAGACCUCGCGCGAUUGGAGCGGCCGAUAUCAGAUUAGGUAGUUGGUGGGGUAAAGGCUCACCAAGCCGACGAUCUGUAGCUGGUCUGAGAGGACGACCAGCCACACUGGGGCUGAGACACGACCCAGACUCCUACGGGAGGCAGCAGUGGGGAAUUUUGGACAAUGGGCGAAAGCCUGAUCCAGUCAUGCCGCGUGCAGGAUGAAGGCCUUCGGGUUGUAAACUGCUUUUGUACGGAACGAAAAGGUUUGGCCUAAUAAGCUGAGCUCAUGACGGUACCGUAAGAAUAAGCACCGGCUAACUACGUGCCAGCAGCCGCCGUAA